AAAAGCUAAAAUAAGUAGAAAAUCUUGAAAGCACCUAGAGAAAAAUAACACAUUAGCUAUUAGGGAAAAAGGUAAGAUUCAUGCUUGACUUCUCAUCAGAUUAUGAAAGCCCAAAGACAUUAGAAAAGUGUAUUUAAAAUGCAGAAGGAAAAUAAAAUCAACCUAUAUCCAGUGAAGCUAUCCUUCAAAAUAAAAAUGGAAUAAUAAAUUCAGAUUAAAAAGGUUAGAGAAUAUAUUGCCAUUAGAUCUCUAUUACGAAGAACAAUGACUAAAGAAAGUUAAUUCAUAUUUGAAGAGAAAUAAUACUAGAUAGCAAUGUGGAUCUAUAGGAAUGACACAGUCACAGAAGACUACAUACUAUAUGAUUCACUUAUGUAAAUUUAUAUUUCUAUCAAUCAUACAGUAUGGCUGGAAAGCCAUAGCUAUAAAACUUAACUAAUGAAACUUAGUCAAUAGCUUGUAGUGGCAUGUAGUGAGCCAUAGAAAGGGCAAAGACAUAGUGAUGGAAAGCACAUCAAUGAGCCAGAGUAGGGUGAGAAUUGAUGAUAAAGGAACAUGAGGAAAACGUCAGUGAUAAAAAUGUUGAAUUUGGUGAUAGUUACAUAAGUGUAUACAUUUGUCAAAACUCAUUCAAUUGUGCAGUUAAAAUUAGAUAAGUUUAAUUUUACAUAAAUGACAGAAAACAUAGGACCUAAAUCAGAAAGAGCCUUACUAGGUCACUGGCUAAAACCUGAUGAGCAAGGUUCUAUUAUAAUAUGUAAAUAUAUAUAUAUUUAAUGUAUACGUAUAUGUAAAUAUUUUAGUAAGUUGAAUUUUGCAUUAUUUAUACAACAUACAUAUAUCAUUAGACAUUUUUUAAAUAAGGUAAUAUGAUUUGAAAUAUUUAUCUUGCAAUAUCCAUUUAAACCUGAGCAUAAUGGUUUGCUACACAAAAUUAUGUUAAUACCAGCUAAUAGAACUUCGUUGAUAGCCUAUAGUAGCAUUUAGUGAGGAGGAUGGACUUUGGUGCUAGAUACACAUGGGUUUGAAUCCCACUUCUCUCCUUAAUUGCUGUUUUACCUUGGAUAAAUUAUUCAACUUCUCUGAGUUUCAGUUGACUCAGUUGUUGAAUAAAAAUGCUACUAUCUGUUUCAUAGGGAUGUUAUAAGGAUAAGAUGAAAAAAGGUAUGUAAAUUGCUUAUUGCAGUGCCUAGCAGAGAGUUUUUAUGCAAUAAAUAUUACCUAUUUCAUUAUUUGUUGUACCAGAAUAUUUUAAUCAAUGUAUAAAAUAGUUUAGUUGAAGCAAUGAAUUACCACAAUGGCUACUGGUAAAUAAUAAAAUAAUAUUAUGCCCCUAGAAAAAUACUUAUGAAUAAGGGAGAACAAUCAGAAACAGAUUAAAUAAAAAUACACUGGCAUUGGAAGAAUGUAUUUGAUUCAUAUGAAUCUUUUUAUUUAGGGUCCUCAGCAAUAGUUUCUAUCCCUUUUCUAACAAUCUACUUUCCUAAAAAGGUCUAUUUAACUUUGCAUCUCUCUCCCUCUCUCUUUCUCUCUCUCUCUCCCUCUCUCUCACUUUCUCUCUCUUCUAUUUUCUCUCUUUUUCCUGGCAUAUAUUCAUUUCCUCCCUAUAUCAAUUUCUUUGUUUCUCUUAGCUGCAUGUUUUUCUUCAUUCACCUGAGUGUGUAGGUAAGCCUUUUCCUUUGUUGGAUUUGUGGUAAUUUUCUAAUAUAUUCCUCCUCUUACAGUUCAUUCUCUGAUUUUUUCAAAACACCCUCCCAGAAUUGUCCUAAGGUGAUGUGUAACCUGUGAAAACCUCAUAUUCACAUACACCUUACACUUCACUCUAAAGGUCAAGGUAACAUUUACCUGAGAGGAAGUGAAAAUAACAUCCACGUAAAUGUUGGAAGGGAAAAUCACCUGGCAAUAAAGACUUGGUUGAGGCAUCCUCUUAGGAGACAGGUCCAUUGUGAAAAAAAAUUAAUAAAAUAAAAAGUGGUCUUUGGGGAUCUUGGAAAAAAGCUGGGCAACAUUGGAAAGAAAAUGGUAAGAGUUCAAAACAAGAAGCCUGAAGUAAUAAAUUCACUCACAAAUGAUUAUAGACGAGGACUCAAGGGAGGAGAAGAAUGUGCUAUUCGAACACUGAAGAUUGUGGAUUCCAUGGAACACUGGCAAAGAGUAAUCAGUUUUUCAUUCAUGAGUGACCUGGAGAUAUUUACUGAUGGAAAGAGUGAGUUGGAUGACUUUGAGGAGAAUGGUUUAUCUUGAGGCUGAAAAGGGUUUAGAUUUAAAGUCUUUGCAGGAAAAAAACACACUUGUACUUUCCAGCUCUCUGGCAUUCAAGAGAAUGAGGCAGAGCUAGAUAAAUGAAAAGGAGAGAGACAGAGCUCAAGAGAAUGAGACAGAGCUAAAUAAAUGAAAAGCAGAGAGACGGAGCUCAAGAGAAUGAGACAGAGCGAAAUAAAUGAAGAGAAAAGAGGAGAAAUGAAAGUAUCCUACAUUUUGAAGGCUAAAGAUGGAUAGAUAAUGAAUUAUUAAGGAAAAACAAACCUGUAUAAUAGGUUUGGGCUAGAUAAAUAAUAAGUGAAAACAAAUAUACAUUCAGAAGAUACUUUAAAUUUUUUUUAAUAUGCUAUAGACUAAUAGAGUAAUGUUGGACUGAAUGUGUGGUUUGUGCAGUAAAGUUUCCUCACUUUGGGGUAAUGUGUACUAACAAUUGCUGACUAUCUACCUCAUGCCUCUUCUGACAAACUUUUAGUUUCACAUCUUAUUUGUCUACUGCAAUAUAGUACCAUCUAGAACAAAACAUAUUUCAAUCCUAUUUUUUCUUUUCCUGUUACAAUCAACCCUGUCUGAAAGAAAAUGAGAUUUUUACUUUUCCUAAAAGUAAAAUAGACUGCUUUAAGAUUAACAGCAGCCUUGCCUCUGUCUGAAACUAACUCUUGCAACUGACCUAGAGAAUGUGAAGAAAACAAAAGCAAGCAAACAAACAUAAUACCUGCAAUUGUUCAGAACAAGAUCAAUGAAAAAUUUUAAACAUUUUCUUGAAGGGAAAGGAUUAAAUCAACAUUUAAAGGCUGCUCUUUUCCUGUCUUCUCUUUUUCUACCUAUCGUCUUUCCUUAAGAAUAGCCUAAAGCUUUCUCAUACUCGAGAAAACAGAUACAAGAAAUUUAUUUUCUUUCUCAAAUCCAAUAGCUUUGUCCCUGUGGUUUCUACAUUUUCUGCUGUCUGUCUCUGUAUUAGUAUCCCCCUACUGCAUUAAACUCCACCCUGGCUAGAGGAUCAUUUCUCAUCCAAGAACAAAACACUGUUUUUACUAUCUUACUUUUUGAUUGAUACAACCCCAUCGGCUAUUUCCCUCGUCUCCCAUUUGUUUGUCUUCUCUUCCCCUCAUCCUCCUUCAGUGUUUGAACCAUUAGUCAACAUUUUUCUUCAUUCUACCAAUUCUGAAAAAAGUGUUGUUUGAAAACUUCUUCCUCCCCUAUGAUUCUACUAUUUUUAUUAAUGUUUGCAUUUCAGCCCAAGAUUAAACAACUCUCUAAGCACUGAUAAAAUAUCAGAGAUCUGCAGUUAGAACCAACUUAUGACCUUAAGAAAUACCUGCCAUAAUGGAAAAGAACAAGAUGAGUUAAAGGAAGGUUUUAAUAAUAAAUACAAUGGGACCCACGGCCAGUUGGAGACAAAAUUGCGAAGCAUAUAAAGUUUACCUUUCUUCUGUCCCCUCCACCAUUUUCUGCCCUCAGAGUCUGUGUGUGUUCCCACGCCACAAGAUUCUUGUUUACCGGAGUCACCAUAUAUGCCAGCACUUCCUGGUCUGUGUGUCUGGUUUAUAUAUGACCCCUCUGGUUACCUCCAUGAAACUCAUCUCUGCAGUAUAAAUGGCACAGGCAAAGUGUUAGAAAUUGAUUGCAAUCCACUUUAACAAGUUUACAUUGAAAUGUCAAUGAUGGAUAGCUCAGCAUAAGGUGCUAGGGAUAUUUUCAUUUUAAACGAUGAAAACAUUAGAACCUAGAUAACUUUCUGAUUUUCAGGUAGAAUUAUGGACUUAAGUUAUAACUAGCCAGGAGACAUGUUAGUUAGUAGGAGAUAGAGGGAACUUCCUGCUCCUGAAUUACACUACUACAUGUCUACUGAUAAGCGAGAUCAGGGAUAUUAAAAUCCCAAAUGACAACAACAAUAAAAUGUUGAGUGCCAGUGCAACACUACAGGGAGUUUAUAAAUAAAGCAAAAAUAAACCCACAAAGACAGUUCUAUUUUGGGUAGCACAGAAAGAUAAGAAUAGAGGCAAGAUGAAUAUGUAAGAUGCACGUAUACCAAGCAGCAGGCACACAUAACGUAAUGAUUGCUGUUUCCCAACUCUCAGAAGCCUGCCUGACUGAAAACUGAUCACUCAUUGCUCUCCUGGGCUUUUUCCUUUCUUAGCAGCUCUGCAGUGUUGUCCCUGUGAGUUCUGUACCAAAGUGAGGUGAUGGUCUCAAGCAGGCUAAGAAAGUUUUGUUAUUUUAUUUCCUCCAUCCCUUUCUUUUUUUCUUCCUUCUCUUCUCUGCCUUUACAAAGAAAAAUGUUAAAAAAGGAGGGGUGGUGGAGGGGAGGAUGUGAGGUUUUGAUGAAGAAUUCUGAAUCUGUUUGGAAGAGGGUCAUGGAAAUCCUCUGACUGGGAUAGGUGUGGGUACAAUAAGGCUGUGCUGAGCAUACUGAGCUAGUUUAAUUGAGUUUGUUCAGUAUUGGUGGAAACAUUCUUUUUUCUUUUAAUUUGUUUCUGCCUUGUUAAUCUAUUUCUGAUUUCUCCAAACUAUACACAUGGAGGUAUGCUAUCUUCCUUCUGUCCUCGGGGAAGGAAAAGGGCGUGCUGUUUGCAAGUUAUGCCUGUGCUCCUGUGUGUCACGACCCUUUUGGAGAGUCCGUUCAGGUUAGUGGUGUUUGCAAAGUUUUCUUGUCUCUGAAACCUACUCAGUGUCUCUAGAGUCUCCUGCUGAAAGAGGAAAACACUGUAACACAUCAUAGUGGGCUGCUUAUUAGAAAACACAACUCUCAUAGCAAAUGACUUUUCUAUGAAGUAUAAUAAAUCAUACACUUGGUAAUAAGUAGAAAGUGUUAGCCAUUGGAACGAUCCUUUUCCUCUUGUCAAGAUUAGGGCAAUUAGAUAGUCCAUAUGGAUUUUCAAAUUAAAUAUCUGCUCUGAUUAUGCUGCUUUAAAAUAUUUUAUUUGAAGUAAUAGAUUGUUUGGUUAUAAAGGCUGAUAUUUGUAGUGUACCAGGCUUCUUAAAAGAGCAAAUUUUACUUCCCUAUUUUUUAAAUUUGUAAGUGAGUCAAAGACUUGGAUUUAAUUCAUUAUGUUCUCCCUCAAAUAUCUACCCUGCCUCUACCAGUUAUUAUAAGUCCAACCAAAUACAUUAUAACCCCAAAUUUAACCUUUCUCUGUUAAAUUUGUUUAACUUCCCUGUUAAAUGUGUUUAACCUGUUUGUAAGAUAUUUUAGUUGCUCAUGACUGUUUAAUAUGCAUUCUAUAUAAACAAGGAAUUAAAAAUGAAAUGCUUUCAGCUCAUGGUACUGUGAACAUUUUUACCCUACUUUUCCUUAUUGAGUAACGUUUCGUACUGCUUUUACUGCAUCAACAUAGUUGAAAUUCAGAUACAGAAAUACUCAUACUACCAGAUUUAAACUUUGAUUCCACUGGGGACUUCAUUAGUAGGUGUCUUCUUCAGUUCAAAGGCAGCACUUGAGAGUUUUAAGACCCUCUAGUUUACUAAUUAGCUUACCCCAAGGGCUGUUUUUAACAUCGCUCAAACCUUUUUAACUUUUAUUGAUAUGGGCAUUUGCACAUAACUGUUUUCAGUUUAAUGUGUCCAGAUCUCUAGUCACAUUCAGGGACAAGUACUUUAGAACAAGUUGGAAAUCCUGUUUAAUGAUUUUUUUUGUCAUAUUUAUGUAUAUUUGCUUAUGAGCAAAUAAUUUGUUUUGACUUACCUUUUAUCUGACUAAGCAUAUUCUCUUUGUUGCUAUUCCCUUAAGCCUUUAGAUUACAUAAAUUAACUACAUAAUUACAUAGAUUAACUACAUAAAGGUAAAUUCAUCAUGAAUUGGUAAAUUGUGAAGUUAAUCCUACCUAGUGGGAACUAAUAAAAAUAGAAAACUGACAUUAAUCUGUAUUUAUCAGAAGAUAUUCUAGGGAUUAGUGUGCUCUCAUGGCAGGUAAAUAUGUGAUUAGUUUUAUAAAUGCAGCUGCCUUAUUCUGUUUUCUGUAAAUGAUUACAAUAAAAUGUUUUGUUUAAAUUAUUUUAUGUGAAGUUAUGGCCAAGUUUUAUCAGGAAUCAGGAAAAAGCAACUGACAUUAAUUUAUUGUUGACAUUAAAUUUACACUAUAAUACCACAUAAGAUGAUUUCAAACCUUCUCAUCAUCUCCACUGAAACCACCAGAGUCCAAGUGCAAUAGUGUCAUAACCCCUCUUGGCUCCCUAUAGUCCAUCCCCUCAUGCCACACACCAUCAUCCCCAUCCCCAUUAUUCUCAGGGCUACAGCAAAUUUUUUAUGAAUUAAGUUUGGCUGUGUCCUUCCCUUAUUUAAAAUUCCUCAAUAUUUUCUAAUUGCAUUUAGGAAAAAGAGCCAUCAUUGUUAAUAUAUUGUUAAAUCAAUUUCACUUUGGCUUGAGGUUGCCUCUGUACCUUGAGUUGCUGUGUGGCAAACUGUAACCUAACUUAGUAUUUAAACAAGCCAAAAUCUAAUUUAGAAGUAUAACUAAAUAAGUAUAAACAAAAUCUAAUUAGAAGUAUAAUUUAGAAGUCAAAGAAGAUCUUCCUUCUCUAAUGUGUGUGUAAAUAUAUAACAUUUAAUUAUAUGUUUCUUUGUGUAACUUAGUUUAAUAUUUGUCUUCCACAUAAUAAUGCAGGCUCUAUGAGGACAGAGGUCAUUGUCUCUUUUAUUAACUUCCGCAUGUGAAUACUUAGAAUACUGUCACAUAAUUUAUCAAUACCUGUUUGUUGCUUCAAUAAGUGAAUAAAAUAUGGUAUUGGAUUUUUUGAGUUAUUUUCAAAUUUAUUUAGUCUUCUUAGUGGUCUAGUCUUUAAUGCAAAAAUUAGCUUUCUUUUAUAACCAAAAUCUCUUCAUUAUUCUAUUUCACAUGAAAAAAAAUUCUGAGCAUCCUUGGAGGAAACGUACACUAGCGAGUAUUUAUAUGCAUGAAAUAUGGUUGGCAGAGAAUACUGCAUUUAACCCGUGAACUGAUGAGUAAUAUUUGUGUUAUGUUCUACAUAUAUGACACAAUAAAUAUGUGAUACAAAAGAAUCUAAUCCUCAGCUGAAAAGGACAUUCAGACCAUGAAGUUUACUCGUCUCUUUAGACAAUUCCAGGUUGUUGAAAUAAUGCAAUUCAGUGUAGUUGUGAAAUCUUUCUAUGAAGAAUAACCCAUGGCUUUCUUCUACAAAAGAUUUUUUAUAUUUUUCUCUUAUAAAAUACUUUUAUACCUAGUCUACAUGUUUCUAUUUAGUAGUGUUAGAAUGGAGCUAAUCACAAGUUUCUAAAUUUAUGUUCUCUCAAUUAUGAUGAUAAAGUCAUAAGAUUAAUUUCCUUGCAUGGCUCCUUAAGUAACUCGGAAAAUAUUUUCUGAGGGUGGGAUUUUAAAAUAGUGUCUAAAUGAUACAAGUUGCAAUAAAUUGCUUUGAAAGAAAAAAAUCAUUUACGCAUGUAUGCUUACAUGUUUCUUAGAAAACACUGGUUCCAAGUUCUGUUUCAAUGGAAUUUCUAUACAUUUAAUGAAAUAAAAUAUUCUGGAAUCAAAGAGCAAUUCUUGAUGACUAAGAAUAAUAUUUUUUUUCCAGAUUUGUUAGGUUCUAUGGUGUUGAUCAAAUUUUUUUCCAAAGCAAUACAUUAUAAGGAUAUGAUUGGUUACACUUUCUUAUUCAAAAUUCUGACUAUGUGAUAUUGCCAGGCAGCUUCCUUUUUCACAUAGAUUAGUUUGAUUCUACCAAUCCCUUUCCGAGAAAAUUGCCAAUUGCAUUUCAUACCCAUUCACUUGCCUUAUGGAUUGCAUUUGUGGUUGAUAGUCUAUUAAAUUACUGUGCAGAUUGGAUUCAGGCCAGUGGUUAAAAUAUUUCUAUUAGACUUCAACAGCAUACGUGUAUCUCUUACAAAUUCACAUAACUUUCUCAUCAUUCUCAGUGUUUGAUUCUGUCCAGAGAGGUUGAAUUGGGUGCGACUCAAUUUCACAGGUGCACAUCAGCCAGUGGCUUUUCUGAGCUGAGUGUUUGAUAACAGAGAGCAGUACCCAUAGUCAGUGCAGAGGUUUGUGCAUCAUGACCAGCUUGCUAUCAAAAGAGCCUUAUGUCUCACAUAAGUUACAUGUUGUCAAUAGAGAAAUUUCCCUUUACUUUAAUUAUUAACUCCAAGAAAUGUACAUUUUUAUUAUUUAUUAUGGGUAUUUGUAAUGUGAUUAUUUCAUCUGUGCCUUUUGUUGACCUUUUGAAAAAGGUAGCAUGUGUUUGUUCCCUACCUUAUUUAGACUAAAAACAUCUGUCCCUACUUCAUGACAAAUAGCAGUCAUGCUAUCAUUUUAAGAAUCAAGAAACAGCUAUGGAUCAGUUUCAAGGAUCAGUUUUAUUUAGAAGUGACAUAUUUAACUCUGUUUAUGCUUGCUUUUAUUUUUGAUUUCCUGAAAAUCGCAUGCGUUUUCUGAAAAUGUCUGAUAGAAACAGUAAGAUGACGUCUUCCUUCUGUUAUUUAAUUGGCAAACAAUAUUUGCUCUUGGGAUUCCUCAUGCUGUGAUACUGAACUGACUCUCUUAAAUUUGAUCUGUAAUUCUCAGGGGAUUGUAGAGACGUAGUAAUGAAGUAUGACAAAAGUUUCUGGGUUGGUACUAUCAAUCACUAAUUAUUAUUUUGAAACUUUGAGAAGGCCGUGAAGUUAGUGAGAGCUUGUUAUUCAGGGUGAAUAAUGUAUCAUAGUUGACUCCUUCCUCAUUUGGCUGUUCUUGGAUUCCAUUUAGCGUUUGGCCUUCCCUUCCAAGGUGUGAUGGUUAAUUUUAUGUGUCAGCUAGACUUGUCUAAGAUAUGGCCAGAUAGCUGGUAAAAGAUUAUUUCUGGGUGUGUCUGUGAGGGUGUUUUCAGAAGAGAUUAGCAUUUGAACCAGUGGACUGAGAAAAGAAGAUCUUCCUUCUCUAAUGUGUGUGCGCAUCAUACAAUUCAUCGAGGACACUAAUAGAACAAAAGGGAAAGGAAAGGAAGAUUUAUUUUCUCUAUUCUUGAUCUGGGACAUUCAUCUUCUCUUGCCCUUGGACAUUGGAGCUACUGAUUCUCAGGCUUUUAGACUCUGAGACUUUGCAGUCCAACUACAUUAGGAAAUUGUCUUAAGGCAGAUGCCUUAAGGUAAAUGGAAAAUGAAGACAUUGGUCUGAGUUUAUCAGAGAAAGUAUUUUGUGGCAAUGGAUUUUAAGCAUUUUUAAUAAUGAUCCAAGAGACUUAUUUUUUCAGUUUGAGUUAGUGAAAAUUCUAUGAUUUUCUUUCAAGGAAAGUCUAAAAUUUCUUUUCCUGUGUCCCAGGGGAAGAAGAGAAGUCAGUAUUAGUUUAUACAUAUUAUUUUAAAAUGGGCUUUAUUCAAUGUACUUUAUAGAUCUAUAAUUUUGAAAAAUGGCUUUCAUUCCAUUUUUACACCUAAAACAUAUUUAUAAAUUAGGGGAUUUUUUUGUUGGUAUUUCUGGAAUCAAACCUAAUUUAUAUCCAUCCUAAAUCAAAUAUAUUUUAUACUCAGAAUGAGAAUAUUUGCCCUGAAAUCUUACAGUACUCACUAGUCUUUUUUAAAAAAGCAUAUUAGUCUAGCAAUCUAAUUUAGGCAAUGCCUGUUGAACAGAGUCAACUAACUCCAGUUUUGGUAUAAAAAUGCAGAAUUGAGUAUAAAAUGAGCAUACACAGUUAAAAAUGGCAGGUAAUAUAUGUCCUGUGACCACAUGUUCUUUAAUGUAAUCAUAGUCAGGACCUUAGGCUUUUUGUAAAAUGAUCUAACUUUGGAGAAUAUACUUUAUCAAGAGAAAGAAGGUGCUGUGUUUGAGAAAUGAAUUGUUUUUUCGGUGUCCUGAAUCUGUUGUUAAUACAUUGAAAGGUGAUCUUUCUUUAGCAUUGCCUCCAGUGUAAUCAACUGAGGCAUGUGAAUGAUGAAUACCCACUAAUUGUCCACUUACAAUUGACAAAUAGUAUACACAUUAUAAGUCUUGGCAAGAAAAUAAGUCUCAUCCAUUCAAAUUUUACCAAUGAAGAUGUGUAAAGAAGAAAACAAAACCCUGUACUGAAGAAAUGCUACAGCUGCAAAUAUUUGACUGACACUUGAAUUUGCCAUUGUAUUUUGGUAUUUCUUAUCUAUUAAUUCAAAAAUAUUUAUAGAGAUCUAUUUAUUUGAGGCCCUGUCUGAGGUGAUGAAGAAUGCAAAAAAGAUCUUUCUGAUUCUAUUAUUUUUCUUACAGCCAAUCAAGGAGUUAUAUGCUGUCAUUUAAAGCAGCUUGAAAUAAUAUUCCUACAGAUACCUAGGAAUAGCCUAUAUUAAAUUUAUUUCUGAUUUUAUUCAAAUAUCUAACAAAUUUUUCUUUCUUAUGUUCACCUUGAUUUCCAAAUGAAGGGGAGUUAGCAGACUUGGAAAACUGCAAGAGGAGAAGAGUAAGAGGACUCUCAAAACAUUAAGAUUCUAUUGAAGCAAAUGUGAAUGUUUAUUAAUUGUCACAUUCUUUUGAAGCCUUGAAGCCCAGUAGCAAAAAGCAUAGGCGUUGACUGUGAUUAAAAUUUCAUGGCACCAUUUAACCGGAUAAGAGAAGGACCUAAGGUGGGAGAGCUACACUCAUGAGGUAUACGGAAGAAAAAGGAUAAAAUCUAAUAUUGUUAAAUGUGAAUAACAUCUGUUUUUAACAAAGGAUGGUAAUAAUAAUAGUGAUAACAAGAACAAUAAUAGUAGCAGUUAAUAUUUUUUAAGUUCUUAUGUUAUCAUUGUAAGUCCUUUACAUGUAUUAUCUCAGCUAAUUCAUAUAAUAACUAUAUAACUACUAUUAGUGUCAUAAUAUGAACAGAGAAGCAAACUUAGGCACAAAUCAAUUGAGUAUCCUCCAAAGAUCGUCCAUUUAUUAAGUGUUCUGAGACUAAAUCAUUCUGCCUUUGAAGGAGAAGAAUGCAUUUGAAUGUUUCCAUACCACUUCAAAAAGCAAAACUUGCUUUGAAGAAUAGUUUAUUCUUUCUAGAGAACCAUUUACCAUUACUUUGGAAAAAAACAACAUGUGUUUAAUACCAAUAAUUUGUAAGACUCUAGAUUUUAUGUUAGAAUAAUUUAUAGACUGUAUGCCAAGGAGCUGAACAAAGGAGAUGUUAAAUUAUCAAUCCCCUAAAAACUGGUGACUGAAUGAGGUAUGAUUCCUGUCUCACUUUGAGUUACAUUGAUCUAAGAUACCUUUUGUGCCAUAAGAACUCACCACAGAGUUCUCUUCUAAAGCACAAAAGCAUAUCACUACAGCAUAGGUUUGAUUUAUGCAGGAUGAUGUAGAAUAAAGAAAAUUGCAUUGAGAUUUCUGUGACCUGAUUUCUAAUCUUGGCUCUGCUGAUAUGAUCAUGUGCAAGUCACUACGUCUCCCUAGCCCUUAGUUUAGUCAUCUAUAAAAGGAAGGGGUUAAUUAGAGAUUUCUAAGACCUACCCCUAGCUUUAAAAUGUUAUGACUCCAUGAUUCCUUCUCUUAAACACAAUAGAAGCCAGUGAAAAAUCAAAAGAGGAUUAUCUUCCAUAACUUCCCACCCUUUUAAUAAGGUUGGAAAUUGCAUUGAGGAUAUCAGAACAACUAGUAGCAGUGUAUUUGGAAUGUUUCAGUUCUGUCAGCUUUUUUUGUGAGUGAAUCAGGUUAAAACAUUUAUUUUUAACAUACGGAUUUACCAUAAAUGCUUUCAAUAUGAAAUCACUUAAUUUAGUUGAUUAACAGGAACUCACUAAAAAUCAACAAUUUAAUCUUUCAUUUAUUGUGUAUCUAAGGCACAACAACAUGUACUAAGUGAUAAAAAGAUGAAUCAAGCCUGUUAUAAAUGCAUAAUAACUGCCAAUUACUGGGCACUGCAACAUUCUAAUUGUUUUGUAGGUACUAGGUCACUGAUUCUCAACAGCAUCUCUGUACCAGUCACACUGGCCUUAUAGAACAAAUGAGUGACCUGAGAUAUUACAGCUUGUAAGAGGUGAAGGAGGGGAACUACUUGAGCAAAAGGCCCAGUGGAUUUGAGCCAAGUUCCAGAAGAGCAAUGAGAAUAUCAUAACCUCUCAGGAGGUGAGAGCCAUUCGGAGGAAGGCUAAAAACUUAGGCUGCCCAGCUCCUUUUCUGAUACAGGAUAUAGUCUUGGAAAAACCUGCGUUCUCUGUUAAUAUUCUGAUUCUCUAUUUAAUAUGUAGUUUUUGAACUUCGAAUCCUGAUUAAACUAGUAAAUCUGUUAAUGAAAGGCUAUGGGAUAUACAGCAUCCUGAUACAUUUGUUACAAAAAAAAUGCUUUGAAAGAAAAAAUUGUUACCAGCUAGAAAAACAUAUAAACAGUCUAUAAACCAUUAUGAAAGUUAUCUCCCUUAGCCCUUUCAGGAGUAAUUUCUACACCUGCUCAACCUCUUCACACUGUUAGGCUAAGAGAACACAAUGUAUAUCAUCAUCAUGUUCACUCAGAGAUGAAUCAUGUAAAAUUGAGCAGGUUGCUGAGUGGGUCAGGACAUGAUGCAUUUCUUUUAGGCCUGUUGCUUUAUUUCCUUCAGAGCCUUUUUAUUUGAACAAAUUGCUGCUCUGUAAGGUGGAUUUAAGGAAUUAAGAUGAUUGAAGCUGCAUAAUCAGACUAAGGACAGAUUUAAGGAAAUUACCUUUUCUUCUUGCUGAAGUCUAGAUUAAUGAGGAAAGACACACUAUUCCCAUUACAUUAUUAGAAUACCUAGGCAGAUCCUUAUCCUGGUUUCUGUAUUCCAAUUUCAAGCUUGCUUCGCCUUUUAAAACUCCCUUAGCCAUUUUAACUCUUCAUAUUCAAAAGAUAACCCCAAAAGUUACUUCACAAAUAAUUAGGGAUAUUCAAUGAGAAGAUUCUCAGCUACCUAUAGCCACCAUAUCCUAAAGCUCCUUUCAUUUGGCCUCAAUAGUGAGGUGCACUUCCAACCAAAUCCUAUUCUCCUGCCUCCUCCAGGACUCUGCUCUGCCAUCUGCCCUCUUUCUGUUUUGGAUCUUCUUUCUCUCCUCUAGUUCCAGCCUCUCUUUCUGCACUGGCUUUCUCCUUCAGCGUGCACAGAUGAUUCAUAUGAUACAGUCACAUGUUCCAGAGCCACAUCCAGAGACAAAACAAAAGAAAAACAAAAGGAAAGCUUUUUUCUUUGACUCUGGAUCUGCCUCUAGCUAUACUUUAUUUCUCUUUUCUUUUUCUAAACCAAGCAGUUUGGAUGAAUUGCCUGAACAUGCUGCCUCAUUUUUAUAUGGUUGUUAACUUCAUUAAGCUAUAAUGCAGCAUGGUGCAUAGAUCUUAAGUAUACAGUUUGAUGGGAUUUGACUAAUUUAUACACUUAAAUAACCACUACUCCAUUCAAGAUAUAAAGCAUUUCCAUCAUCCCUGGAAGUUUCUUCAUGCCCCUUUUCAGUAAAUCUUUGGCCUGCUUUUCUCCGCACUUGUCUGAUUUCUAUACAGGUACAUUAUAUAUUCCCUGUCUUUUUUUUUGUCUUCAAGUUUUUCCAACAACCUCAAACUUAGAAACUUUUCGUAAACACAGUGCAAAAAAACGUUUUCACGAAUCAUUUAAAAUUGCCAACCGGUUACCCCCUCAAAUCUGAAUAUUUUAGUGUGUUUUUCCUCCAGCAAAGACGUUUUCCUACUGGACCGCAAAGCAGUUAUCAGAAUCUGGACAUUAGCACUGAAGCAACACUAACAACUAAUUCUCAGGAUCCAAUUAAUUUUCACCCGUAAAUGUCCCUCAUUGCAAGAGGAACCAGUUCAGAAUCACACACUGCAUUCAGUUAUAGGUCUUGUUAGCCUCCUUUAAUCUGGAACCAGUCCUCAGUCUUUCCAGACUUUCCUUACAGUGGCAUCUUUGAAAAGUACAGGUCAAAUAUUUUAUAAAUUGUUUUGCAAAUUUAUUUGGCAUUUUCUCAUGAGUAGAUUCAAAUUACACAUUAUAGGUAAGACAAUCCCAGGAGUGAUAUUGUGUUCUGCUCAUUGCAUCCUGUCAGGUGGCUUAUGACAUUAAUUUGUCCCUUUAUUAAUAAUGCUCACAAUGAUCACUUAAUUAAGAUGCCACCUUUCAGGCUUUUCCACUGUAAAUUACUCUUGGUCCCUUUGCAAUUAGUAAAUAUUUCAUGGGGGUGGUAAUUUAAAUCUAUGUAAAUAUCUCAUUUCUUACCAAAUUUUUAGAUUACAUGUGUUUGUCUGUUCUUGCACUACUAUGAAGAAAUACCUGAGUCUGUGUAAUUUAUAAAGAAAAAAAGUUUAAUUGGCUCACGGUUCCACAGGCUAUACAGGAAGCAUGAUGCUGGUGUCUGCUCAGCUUCUGGGGAGAACUCAGGAAACUUACAAUCAUGGCAGAAGGCAAAGAGGAAGCAAGUGCAUCUUACAUGGCUGGAGCAAGAUCGUGAGAGAGUGGGGAGGUGCUGCACACUUUUAAACAACCAAAUCUCGUUGUUUUGCCACAACACCAUCAAGGAGAAUGAUGUUAAACCAUGAGAAACCACCCCUAGACCCACCAGGCCCUACCUCCAACACUGGGGAUUACAGUUUGACAGGAGAUUUGGGUGGGGACACAGAUCCAAGCCAUAUCAUUACAUAUUUCUUUAUUUCUGUUUGUAUAAACUCUGGUUUUCUAUUUUAUUAAAUAAAUUAAAAUCCAUUACUAUUAUUGUCUAUUCUGAUACUCAAAUUGGCAAAGAUUUGACCAGGGCCAGCUCCUUUGUGCUGGCUUCUUUGUCCUCUUGACAUGUCUUUACUCUUUGAUACUUAUUUUAUGGCAUAACGGAAGAUUCAGACUCAACUCUUAGUUUUUUUGCCCCAUGCCUGGAAUCAAAUAUUUCUACUAGGAACCUUGGUUCUUUUAAAAGGAAAAUGUUUUUUAGUAUGCAAAAUCUGGUUACACUCAUGACUAUGUAUGCAACACUGCUUCCAGGCUCUCUCAAUGGAUAGGACUAGGGAAUAUAUGCAAGUUCACAAACACACACACACACACACUCACUUGCAUCUAUAUUUAUAACUCUCUCCAUAUAUACUGGAAACCAUAAGUUCACACUGAAAUUUCCAAUUCCAAUCUAACACCACAGAGUUCAUUCUAGUUUUCUCUAUUUCUAGAUUUGUAACUCCCUUCUCUGACAGUGAAAAACAGGCUCCCAUUAUUCUAAAUAUUUUUACUUAUUUGAUGAAUUUUCCUGUAUGUAACUGAUCUCAUUCCUGCCACUGCCCUCUUCCCCCAAGAAUAUCCUUCUGCUAAGGUAUAGCAAAGAUUAUGUGCUGGAAACUUAAUGCCCAAUGCAAUAGUGUUGAGAGGUGGGAUGUUUAUGAGGUGAUUAAGUCAUGAGGGCUCUUCCCUCAUGAAUGAAUUAAUGCUGAUAUAAUGAGAAUGGGUUCUUGAGAAGAAGGAUGAGUCUGGUCUCCUUCCUCUCGUUCUUUCCCUCUGUUGCCUUUCUAUCUUCUGCUAUGGGAUGACACAGCAUGAAGGCCCUCCCUAUAUGCCAGUGCCAUGCUCUUGGACUUUCCAGUCUUCAGAAUUUUAAGCCAAAUAAACUUAUACUGUUUAUAAAUUA